AUCAAGGCUGAGGUGUGAUGACGAGGCACUACGGUGCUGAAGUAACAAAUGCCCUGCUUCCAGGAAAAGCCUCUAAGCAUCAGGUAACAUCAAAUCGUACCCCAAACCGACACAGGUGGUCAGGUAGAGAAUACCAAGGCGCUUGAGAGAACUCGGGUGAAGGAACUAGGCAAAAUGGUGCCGUAACUUCGGGAGAAGGCACGCUGGUGUGUAGGUGAAGUCCCUGCGGAUGGAGCUGAGACCAGUCGAAGAUACCAGCUGGCUGCAACUGUUUAUUAAAAACACAGCACUGUGCAAACACGAAAGUGGACGUAUACGGUGUGACGCCUGCCCGGUGCCGGAAGGUUAAUUGAUGGGGUUAUCCGUAAGGAGAAGCUCUUGAUCGAAGCCCCGGUAAACGGCGGCCGUAACUAUAACGGUCCUAAGGUAGCGAAAUUCCUUGUCGGGUAAGUUCCGACCUGCACGAAUGGCGUAAUGAUGGCCAGGCUGUCUCCACCCGAGACUCAGUGAAAUUGAACUCGCUGUGAAGAUGCAGUGUACCCGCGGCAAGACGGAAAGACCCCGUGAACCUUUACUAUAGCUUGACACUGAACAUUGAGCCUUGAUGUGUAGGAUAGGUGGGAGGCUUUGAAGCGUGGACGCCAGUCUGCGUGGAGCCAACCUUGAAAUACCACCCUUUAAUGUUUGAUGUUCUAACGUUGGCCCCUUACCGGGGUUGCGGACAGUGUCUGGUGGGUAGUUUGACUGGGGCGGUCUCCUCCCAAAGCGUAACGGAGGAGCACGAAGGUUAGCUAAUCCUGGUCGGACAUCAGGAGGUUAGUGCAAUGGCAUAAGCUAGCUUGACUGCGAGCGUGACGGCGCGAGCAGGUGCGAAAGCAGGUCAUAGUGAUCCGGUGGUUCUGAAUGGAAGGGCCAUCGCUCAACGGAUAAAAGGUACUCCGGGGAUAACAGGCUGAUACCGCCCAAGAGUUCAUAUCGACGGCGGUGUUUGGCACCUCGAUGUCGGCUCAUCACAUCCUGGGGCUGAAGUAGGUCCCAAGGGUAUGGCUGUUCGCCAUUUAAAGUGGUACGCGAGCUGGGUUUAGAACGUCGUGAGACAGUUCGGUCCCUAUCUGCCGUGGGCGCUGGAGAAUUGAGGGGGGCUGCUCCUAGUACGAGAGGACCGGAGUGGACGCAUCACUGGUGUUCGGGUUGUCAUGCCAAUGGCACUGCCCGGUAGCUAAAUGCGGAAGAGAUAAGUGCUGAAAGCAUCUAAGCACGAAACUUGCCCCGAGAUGAGUUCUCCCUGAGACUUUAAGUCUCCUGAAGGAACGUUGAAGACGACGACGUUGAUAGGCCGGGUGUGUAAGCGCAGCGAUGCGUUGAGCUAACCGGUACUAAUGAACCGUGAGGCUUAACCUU
rnacentral:rRNA from 1 species